ACAGUGUAUCCAUAUACAUAAAGUAAAUAAAUAAAUUUUAAAAAAGAAAGAGAGACAGACAGAGAGAGACAGAGAGAGAGACUGAUAAGGGAAUGCUUUUCCAGGUGAGAGAUAGUAGCACCCAGCAAUUGUGCCAAGAAGGCAAGGCAAGUUGAAAUUGAACAACUCUCUCUCUCUCUCUCUCUCUGUGUGUGUGUGUGUGUGUGUGUGUGUGUGUGUGUGUGUGUGUCUUUUAUCCAAAGAUUCAAGGGAAGCUAGCGUGUCCCCCAAUCCUGGAGCAAAGACAAGUAGAACAUAAAACUACAGGCAACAAGAGUUACAUCUCCUUUCUUCUUGUGUGUGGUCCUAGCGACUGAACUUAAGACCUCAUAUACUCUAGACAAAUGCUUCACUCCUGAGCUGUAUCCCUAGCCCCCUUCUUAUAGCGAAAAACAAUCAUACAAUACAAUAGUAGAGCCCACCCUAUUCCAGUGUGACUUCAUCUUAAUUUGAUUUCACUUGCCAAGACUUGACCUGCUACCAAGGAAGACAAUGAAAAUGGGGUAGCCUUGGUUUGGGGCAUCUAAAGUGGAGCCAGGAAGCCAUUGUUGGCUCGAGUUUAGGGUAUAACCCCAUCAGAGCUGACCUUUGACCUCUCAGUUUCUAUUUCCUUAAAGACUGUUUUCUAACUUUCUGUAUCAGGAAAUGCUUCUCCACUACCCAGGGACGAAGACUAUAUUCAAUUCCUUUUUUAAAAAACAGCUCAGAUUUAGCCACUGUCAAUCAUAAUUCCCAAAUAACACAUGCUAAAACUAUCAAGCCUUGUGCAGUUUUAGGAUUUAAAAUCGUAUUGAUUCUUCUCUGAUCUCAUGCAUACACAUGCACUGUAGUGCACACUCACCCUCAUUUCCCCCUCUCGCCGCCUCCUAACCAACACCAUGGUCUUUGUUUUUCAGAUAUAACUCUGAAAGGCCCACUCCUAGUUGCCUACUUUUGCCAGUGAAGUCCCUCCUAAGUGUGUCACAGUUUUCAAAAUAGUCCUACAAGCUAAAGACUAAACUUUCAAAGCAGAAGCCAAUGGGAGACAUUUCAGAAUCAAACUAUAAGCUUAAGCAACUUUCUGGGAAGGGAUGGGCAUGUUCAAUAGGAACAAACAUCGUACAGUGAACUUGUUCCAGGGCAGUAGGUUCAGGACACCAGGGCAGGACUUACUGAGCAGGAGGAAACCUCUAACUAACACCAAAGCAACUUGCUGGGAAGAGAAAGUUCAGGGAAACUCUUGGUAUUACAAAUUUGUUUAAAAUCUUAGAAACCAAAUUCAAAUGCCUUCCCCAUGGUAUCAUUAAGCAGGCCCAUAGGCAGCAUGGACUAUGCUGAUGUCUCUCCUUGUGGCUUGCCUUUGGCUCCUCGAAGAGGAGCAGCAUUAUCCUCAAGCUGCUCCAGGAACAGCUGGGCCAGUGAGGGACUCCUCGUCCAGUGCUCAGUACCUGCCCAAGGUCUACCACACAUGGUGCUUGUGUGAGUUGUAUGGUCAACACUCAGUUAAGAUGAGAACCAAUAUGCCAAGUGUGGUGAUUCAUGCUUGUAAUCCCAGAAUGCAAGAGGCCAAGGCAGGAGGAUUGCCAAGAGCUGAUUCCAGCCAGGGCUACAGAGUAAAACCCUGUC
rnacentral:lncRNA from 1 species